rnacentral:rRNA from 1 species
CCAAUAGCGUAUCUUAAAGUUGUUGUGGUUAAAAAGCUCGUAGUUGAACCUUGGGCCUGGCUGGCCGGUCCGCCUCACCGCGUGUACUGGUCCGGCCGGGCCUUUCCCUCUGUGGAACCCCAUGCCCUUCACUGGGUGUGGUGGGGAAACAGGACUUCUACUGUGAAAAAAUUAGAGUGCUCCAGGCAGGCCUAUGCUCGAAUACAUUAGCAUGGAAUAAUAGAAUAGGACGUGUGGUUCUAUUUUGUUGGUUUCUAGGACCGCCGUAAUGAUUAAUAGGGACAGUCGGGGGCAUCAGUAUUCAAUUGUCAGAGGUGAAAUUCUUGGAUUUAUUGAAGACUAACUACUGCGAAAGCAUUUGCCAAGGAUGUUUUCAUUAAUCAGGAACGAAAGUUAGGGGAUCGAAGACGAUCAGAUACCGUCGUAGUCUUAACCAUAAACUAUGCCGACUAGGGAUCGGACGGUGUUAUUUUUUGACCCGUUCGGCACCUUACG